AUACAGCGAUGGCCCCCACACCUGGAAGGACUCAAGCUCUGAAUCCAGCACCUUCAGGAAGCAAGUGAUGGCAUCCCAGAGGCCCUAUGCUUGAGACAGACUGACGAAAACAGGUGGAUCUAGGUAAAAUCAGUCUCUGCUACCCUCCUCAUCUAAACCCUCAGUGCAGGGCCACCUUGGAAGCCAUGUGUUAACACUGAGUGAUCCUCCUCAGCCAAGUCCCUAAUGCAUGGAAAAGAACCUCCUGACCCAGUCCCCAAAGGCUGGACUUUUCCUUUGCAAGAAAUAAGGAGGGUAAAGUUCACCAUAAAUAACAAAGUCAUGGAGUCAAGCUGUCACAAUUGGCCACCGUUCCUAAGGCAUUUGAAUUGUAUGCAUUGACAGGAAAAAGCAGGAAGGAGUGAAGACAGAACAAGGGGAGAAUGUAACCUGAGUUGGAAGGUGUAAUAUUUAAAUGUAUUUGCAAACCUGUUUUGGGCCAAAAGGGGUAGGAGGAAGAGAAGACGCAUUUGCUGAGAUCUAUUAUAUGCCAAUUGGAGGACUACAGAUUUCACAAUUCACAUCUGUUGUCUUAUUUCUUUCUCAUAAUCCCAAAGAUAAUUCUAAAGUUACACAUUAUCAUCUCCAUUUACAAUUAAGAACUGAUGCUCCAAGAAGAAAGAUCUCACAGUGUGUAGGCAACAGACCUAAGAUUCAAACCUAUAUUGGUGGGUGUUAAUGUCCUUGUUCUUUCUGAUGUAAGCAUGUAACAUUUCCACAUCUCUGAUUCCAUGCUCAAGGUGGGCCAAGCCAUGCUGCUUGUAAGACAGGGUGCCUGUGAUGACACAAGUCAUUAAUGCAAGUGUUAAGUGCCAUGCAAGCACAGAAGCCACUUAAAAUGGGUUUUCGGAAAUGAAAGCUGGGCUCAAACAGAGCCCACUUUCAAGGGGGCCUGGUUUAAGUGGCCAAACUCUCAAGAAGAAAGGCAUUAAAGGAAGAGCCUUUCUGCUGGGCUGGCAAAACUUUAGGUUCAUGAAUUCAGGAGGAGACUGAGGAGGAGAAAACAGGGUUUUAGAAUGCAGCCUCAGGAGCUGCCUGCACCUCUCAGGCCAGGAGGUUGGCUUUUCCAAUUGUGCGAUUAAGCUAUUCUACCCAGCCCCACCUCUCAUUUUCAAUUAAUCUGCACUAAUGAAUUCAACAACCAAAAUGCAUUUGCUAAUUGAGGUGCUUGCUGGCCAGGUCAUCCGCGCUCCCUUGUCUAACAGCUGGUACUCCCCACUGUGCCACGGUAAAGUAGGGUAGUAGAGGCCUCUGCUCCCCUCAUCCCCUGCUGCCCCUGAGGGGAAUACCCAGUGGGCAAGAAAAGGCCCAGCCUGGGAGAGAAUGCUCAUAAUAUAUUACUAAGUCACAGACAGAAAUUGCUCCUCCGGGCAGUCUUUCACUUUUUGUUUCUAAGUGAAAGCUCAUGACCAUCCCAGCCAUAUUAUCUCCCUGGCCCUUGGAAGCUGUUAUGUAAUGGAAAGGGCAUUAAACUCAGGCCAGGAAAUUCUUGAUACAGAACCCAGACUGUUGUUGAUAACUGGGUUGACUUUGGAAAGUGACUGCCUCCCUCCCUCUCGGUUUGCUCAUCUGGAAAAUGAAACUAAUGGAACUG
rnacentral:lncRNA from 1 species